rnacentral:tRNA from 1 species
GGCUCCGUAGCUCAGGGGUUAGCGCACUGGUCUUGUAAGCUAGUGGUCAUGAGUUCAAAUCUCGCUGGGGCCU